UACGGAGGGAGCGAGCGUUGUCCGAAGUUACUGGGCGUAAAGCGCGCGUAGGCGGGGGGAUUAAGUGAGAAGUGAAAGGCUGAGGCUCAACCUCAUGCAGUGCUUCUCAUACUGGUCCUCUUGAGGGUGGUAGAGAGAAGUGGAAUGGCUGGUGUAGCGGUGAAAUGGCGUAGAUAGUCAAGUCGGAACACCGGUGGCGAAGGCGGCUUCGUU
rnacentral:rRNA from 1 species